GAUGAACGCUGGCGGCGUGCCUAAUACAUGCAAGUCGAGCGAACAGACGAGGAGCUUGCUCCUCUGACGUUAGCGGCGGACGGGUGAGUAACACGUGGAUAACCUACCUAUAAGUCUGGGAUAACUUCGGGAAACCGGGGCUAAUACCGGAUAAUAUAUUGAACCGCAUGGUUCAAUAGUGAAAGACGGUUUUGCUGUCACUUAUAGAUGGAUCCGCGCCGCAUUAGCUAGUUGGUAAGGUAACGGCUUACCAAGGCGACGAUGCGUAGCCGACCUGAGAGGGUGAUCGGCCACACUGGAACUGAGACACGGUCCAGACUCCUACGGGAGGCAGCAGUAGGGAAUCUUCCGCAAUGGGCGCAAGCCUGACGGAGCAACGCCGCGUGAGUGAUGAAGGUCUUCGGAUCGUAAAACUCUGUUAUUAGGGAAGAACAAAUGUGUAAGUAAAUAUGCACGUCUUGACGGUACCUAAUCAGAAAGCAACGGCUAACUACGUG
rnacentral:rRNA from 1 species